CGCUAGGUGUGAGUCCCUUCCACGGGGUUCGUGCCGUAGCUAACGCAUUAAGCGCCCCGCCUGGGGAGUACGGCCGCAAGGCUAAAACUCAAAGGAAUUGACGGGGGCCCGCACAAGCGGCGGAGCAUGCGGAUUAAUUCGAUGCAACGCGAAGAACCUUACCAAGGCUUGACAUGUUCUCGAUCGCCGUAGAGAUACGGUUUCCCCUUUGGGGCGGGUUCACAGGUGGUGCAUGGUUGUCGUCAGCUCGUGUCGUG
rnacentral:rRNA from 1 species